rnacentral:rRNA from 1 species
GACGAACGCUGGCGGCGUGCUUAACACAUGCAAGUCGAACGGAAAGGCCCUGCUUUUGUGGGGUGCUCGAGUGGCGAACGGGUGAGUAACACGUGAGUAACCUGCCCUUGACUUUGGGAUAACUUCAGGAAACUGGGGCUAAUACCGGAUAGGAGCUCCUGCUGCAUGGUGGGGGUUGGAAAGAUUCGGCGGUUGGGGAUGGACUCGCGGCUUAUCAGCUUGUUGGUGGGGUAGUGGCUUACCAAGGCUUUGACGGGUAGCCGGCCUGAGAGGGUGACCGGCCACAUUAGGACUGAAGUACGGCCCAGACUCCUACGGAAGGCAGCAGUGGGAAAUACUGCACAAUGGGCGGAAGCCUGAUGCAGCAACGCCGCGUGCGGGAUGACGGCCUUCGGGUUGUAAACCGCUUUCGACUGUGACGAAGCGUGAGUGACGGUAAUGGGUAAAGAAGCACCGGCUAACUACGUG